rnacentral:lncRNA from 10 species
GGGCAGUGUUGCCUUGAACUGAUCGUGCGCUGUCAGCAGGCUCUGGGGACGACAGGCAGGAAGUGUCAGCUGGUGUCCCCCACUUACCACAGGCAACAGAAAGGGCAGCAGUGUGCCCCAGGCCACCCACCAGUCCUGGGCAGUCCUGACACAAGAACCCCGGCCUCCUGUCUUCCAGCCCAGCACUCGGGAACUGGGGUUUUCCUCCCAUCCCUAUGCCCCAGGAGCCUAAAGUUGUGGGUGGCAGAAUUUGGGGCCAGCUUUCCUGUCAUCCUAUCCAUCCCCUGCAACCCUGGCACCCACCUGGGUCUCCUCCACAGAGUGUACCAGCCACACGUCCUGCAGGUCCUCCACGGCACCAUCCAGCCAGUUGUUGAAGGGCGCGGCCCGCCGGGCAAACUCCAGUUGCAGCCGGUCAAUGGUCUCCAGGAGCUUCUCCAUCCGCUAGAGAGAUGCCGGCUCCGGUCACCCAGUGGCGGCAGGGGCAGGGGUGCGCGGCGGGCUGCGUGACCAUGAAGCCUCAUCUGCUAAGGUGGCGAUCGCACCGGCCUAGCUCGUCCUAGGGAUUUGCUCUGCGGCGUCGGUGUAAUAACGUAGGUGAAAGUCCUCUUCCGUGGCGUGAUCCGCAAAUGACAUCAGCGUCCCCUGAGCGAGCUACGUCCAGGGGGCCCUUGGUACAGUUUUAGCAUAAUUUGACCUUAAAAUAGCUCUCAACGAUUCUGUAACCCCCAUGAGCCCCUGACCCGGCCUCCUUUGUUCACUACAGAAAUCCUCGACAGAACAAUGAAUGGAUGUUUCUAUCCAGAGUAAUAUAUUUGACUCGUGCAAUAUUUUAGCGUCAGUAUACUUUGAGUAUGACAUAAGUGAUGUUAGGGUGAGGAAUGGACUCACCUUUGAA